AAUAGAUACCCAGGUAGUCCAUGCCGUAAACGUUGGGCACUAGGUGUGGGGCUCAUUCCACGAGUUCCGUGCCGCAGCAAACGCAUUAAGUGCCCCGCCUGGGGAGUACGGCCGCAAGGCUAAAACUCAAAGGAAUUGACGGGGGCCCGCACAAGCGGCGGAGCAUGCGGAUUAAUUCGAUGCAACGCGAAGAACCUUGCCAAGGCUUGACAUGCACGGGAAGCCACCAGAGAUGGUGGUCUCUUUGGACACUCGUGCACAGGUGGUGCAUGGUUGUCGUCAGCUCGUGUCGUGAGAUGUUGGGUUAAGUCCCGCAACGAGCGCAACCCUCGUCCCAUGUUGCCAGCGGGUUAUGCCGGGGACUCAUGGGAGACUGCCGGGGUCAACUCGGAGGAAGGUGGGGAUGACGUCAAAUCAUCAUGCCCCCUUAUGUCUUGGGCUUCACGCAUGCUACAAUGGCCGGUACAAAGGGCUGCGAUACCGUAAGGUGGAGCGAAUCCCAAAAAGCCGGUCUCAGUUCGGAUUGGGGUCG
rnacentral:rRNA from 1 species